rnacentral:lncRNA from 1 species
UGCCCAUCAAGAUCAUUUUCAAAAGAUGAUUACUUCAGUGUGCCCAGGCCUGCAGGACAUAAGUACAUGGGCAGGAGUGGUAAGAGCUAUAAUUGUUCUUAAUGGGAAAAUAUGCAGGUUGUUUCCAAUAUUUGCCUGUUAAAACCAAACGGCAGAGAACAUCUUUCUGCAUGUCUCCAUGGGCGUUUAUAUGAGAUUCUUUCCUGAGAUAUAUCUGCUAGAAGUGGAGUCUGUGGAUCAUCAGGUGUAUAACAGGCUCCUGCAGCCUUCUCUUCCAGUCCUACUUCUAGUCAUCUUACUCAUCUCUCCUUGGCAAAGAGGGAACUUCAAAUGCCCCACAGACUUGGAACAAACCCCAAAGCUCGUCACCCAGCACACAAAUGCAACCAUUUCUGGAUUCAUUCCUCCCAGGAUGGAAAGAAGUGUCUAAGAAAUGACAUCUUGAAGACAGAAUCCUCUCGAAGCUGAGAAUAUCUGCAACAGGCAGCAGGGAGCGGUGGUGGGAGUGGGAGACCAUAGCUCCGGGGUUUUGGAGACUUGAGUGUAGUGACCGUUUCGUCUAUAUUGUGAGCUAUCAAUACAGCUGUCUAACUUAACGAAGAGUCAAACUUGAGCUCAGGAAGCAUUUCUUACACAGCAGUAGUGGGUCCUCCUCUGGCUGCCACCCAGCUUGGGGAGGGACUGUGGAGGCAGCGAGUCCAUGGAAAAGGAGGCAGGUACAAGGGAAACACAAGGAGAGAAGAGAAGCCAUUGUUUCUGGACUUGGCCACCCCACUCAGGAGCACGGUGUAUUAUGUUAAGAUGCCAGUCGAAAGAUAUGGAUAUUUCAAGUCGAAGCACAAAGAUAUUUUUCAUCUGGUGGAGAAUAAAGAGGAAAAACAUGGAACGCCAUUUAUGAAAUGACAUUCUCAUCCAAUUCCUCCAUCCCAAAUGAAUGAAGAUUUAUGGAGUAGAGACCUCUGCGGGGCAGGAGGUGGGACCAUCUGUAGAAGUGCUCAAGAGAGACCAGCUGAAGAGCCAAGGAUGAGCUGGAGAUCCACCGGCAAAUGGUCAGCAGCGAGACAGACGGAAGGCCUUUAUCAUCUCCAGGCCCUCUCCAAACACACAAAUCAAUAACAAUUAAAGCAGAUUAUGAAAAGGCAA